rnacentral:rRNA from 1 species
AGUAACGGCGAGUGAAGCGGGAAGAGCUCAAAUUUGAAAUCUGGUGGCCUCAGGUCAUCCGAGUUGUAAUCUAUAGAAGUGUUUUCCGUGCUGGCUCAUGUACAAGUCCCUUGGAACAGGGCGUCAUAGAGGGUGAGAAUCCCGUCCUUGACAUGAACUACCAGUGCUCUGUGAUACAUUUUCAACGAGUCGAGUUGUUUGGGAAUGCAGCUCAAAAUGGGUGGUAAAUUCCAUCUAAAGCUAAAUAUUGGCGAGAGACCGAUAGCGAACAAGUACCGUGAGGGAAAGAUGAAAAGCACUUUGGAAAGAGAGUUAAACAGUAUGUGAAAUUGUUGAAAGGGAAACGAUUGAAGUCAGUCGUGCUCUUUGGAUUCAGCCGGUUCUGCCGGUGUACUUCCUUUGAGUGGGGUCAACAUCAGUUUUGAUCGCUGGAUAAAGGCGGGAGGAAUGUAGUACCCUCGGGUAAACUUAUAGCCUCUUGUCACAUACAGUGGUUGGGACUGAG